UAGACUUUAGUGCAGGGAAUAACCUAGGGGGCACCUGAGCAUCUAGAAAGCCCUUGUCUCCCCAGAAGCUUUUAGUCUGACCCUGUGGAGGUAUAACAUCCUCUCCUGAGUGCAAGGUUGUUUCUCAGUGUUGCUUUUCAGCUGUUCCUUGCUUUAAUGACCUUUCUUUUCAUUCUUUUGGGAAGGAAAGAUGGAGAGGAUGAAAUUUGAAUGGU